CAGAGUGGGAUAUUCGAUCACAUCACCUCUUCAGAUCCCAGAGACUUCCAGGGUUUAGAGAGUCCCAGUUCAGUUGGCUGGGUGGAAAGCUGCAGGAUCA